rnacentral:rRNA from 1 species
UACGUAGGGUGCAAGCGUUAAUCGGAAUUACUGGGCGUAAAGGGUUUGUAGGUGGUCUGCUAAGUCAGACGUGAAAUCCCUCAGCUUAACUGGGGAACUGCGUCUGAUACUGGCGGACUUGAGGACAGGAGAGGAACGCGGAAUUCCAGGUGUAGCGGUGAAAUGCGUAGAUAUCUGGAGGAACACCGGUGGCGAAGGCGGCGUUCUGGACUGUUUCUGACACUGAAAAACGAAAGCCAGGGGAGCAAACGGG